UGCCAUGUUUGACACCUCAAUGAAGUUAUUUUGGGGGAUUUUUUCCAAAGGGAUAAAUGACACCAAUGAAAUUAUUUUGUGAGAUUCUUCCAAUGAAAGAAUGAGAGCGCAAUGGUUCACACAAUUCUUUGGAUCCAACACACGCACCAGUUGCUGUCAAAAAGGGCCCAAAAGGAGCACAACAAAGCCAACACUCCCUAACUCAUGAAAGAGACGUUUCAUCUCCUCCCACUUUCGGUGGAUAGACCUCCACUACUUUCAUAGCCUUCUCAUAACCUCAACCUUUCUUCUAAAUUCUCACCCACUACUUUCAGCCCAUUCAUUCAUUCAUUCAUUCCUCUUCUUCUUUUUCUUCUUCAUCUUCAUCACAAGGGAAAAUGGGGAUCUGCUGCUCAGACUCAGAAGACAACUCUUCAAUGCUUUGGGGGCUGGUGCUGGCUUUGGUUUUGGCUAUGUUGUUGAUGAUGCUCUGUCCACCCUAUCCCAGAAGGACGGUCGUUGUUUGUCAGUGCCGUUGAUUUUUCUUUAGAAAAGACUUCUCAAGUUUAAUGGAGUCGUCUUCAGUAGAAGAAGAAUAAGAAACGAGGAGUCAGUAUUAGAUGGGUUGUAUGUGGCUGAAGGCAAGGCACCAAUCAAUGUGAUAAUAAAGAUGGAUUUUUGUGUUCAAAUUUGUCGGUGAAAAAAUAGCAACUGAAGGUCAAAAACAUGGGCAGAGAUUUGGGAUUUUUGCGACUGCUGCACCCAUACUCGAGAAUAUUCCUAACUUGAGGGCUCAAUGAAUGGAGAUGCAGUGUCACAAGGGUUUUUAUUUUUAUUUUGAACAAUGCCAUAAGAGUGUAUUUGGUAAAUGGCAAUCAAUUUGUUGCAUCAAGUUUGGCCACAGAGCUCUUAACACCA